rnacentral:rRNA from 1 species
UACGAAGGGGGCUAGCGUUGCUCGGAAUCACUGGGCGUAAAGCGCACGUAGGCGGAUCGUUAAGUCAGGGGUGAAAUCCUGGAGCUCAACUCCAGAACUGCCUUUGAUACUGGCGAUCUUGAGUUCGAGAGAGGUGAGUGGAACUGCGAGUGUAGAGGUGAAAUUCGUAGAUAUUCGGAGGAACACCAGUGGCGAAGGCGGCUCACUGGUCCAUUACUGACGCUGAGGUGCGAAAGCGUGGGGAGCAAACAGG